rnacentral:rRNA from 1 species
AGCUCUGGUAAACGGCGGCCGUAACUAUAACGGUCCUAAGGUAGCGAAAUUCCUCGUCGGUUAAUUGCCGACCUGCACGAAUGGUGUAACGGCUUGGGCGCUGUCUCAACGGGGGACUCGGCGAAAUUGUAGUUCCGGUGAAGAUGCCGGAUACCCGCGGCGGGACGGAAAGACCCCGUGAACCUUUACUCCAGCCUGACACUGGGUUUCGGCACAGUAUGUGUAGGAUAGGUGGGAGGCUACGAAGUGGGGGCGCCAGCCCUCAUGGAGCCGUCCUUGAAAUACCACUCUUAUUCUGCUGGAAUUCUAACCUGGGCCCUUGAAUCAGGGUCGGGAACACUGUCAGGUGGGAAGUUUGGCUGGGGCGGUCACCUCCUAAAAUGUAACGGAGGCGCCCAAAGGUUCCCUCAGCGCGGUCGGUAAUCGCGCAUAGAGCGUAAAGGUAUAAGGGAGCUUAACUGCGAGACACACAGGUCGAGCAGGUGCGAAAGCAGGGCUUAGUGAUCCGACGGUUGCGCGUGGAAGCGCCGAAGCUCAACGGAUAAAAGGUACUCCGGGGAUAACAGGCUGGUCCUCCCCAAGCGUCCAUAGCGACGGGAGGGCUCGGCACCUCGAUGUCGGCUCAUCACAUCCUGGGGCUGGACAAGGUCCCAAGGGUUAGGCUGUCCUCCUAUUAAAGUGGUACGCGAGCUGGGUUUAGAACGUCGUGAGACAGUUCGGUCCCUAUCUGCCGUGGGCGCAGGAUAUUUGAGGAGAUCUGUCCUUAGUACGAGAGGACCGGGAUGGACGAACCUCUAGUGUACCAGUUGUCUCGCCAGAGGCAUCGCUGGGUAGCUAUGUUCGGCAGGGAUAAGCGCUGAAAGCAUCUAAGCGCGAAGCCCACUCCAAGAUAAGAUAUCCCGUGGGUAAACCCACCUGAAGGCUCCUUGUAGACUACAAGGUCGAUAGGUCGCAGGUGUAAGCGCAGCAAUGCGUUCAGCCGAGCGAUACUAAUCAGCCGUGCGGCUUGAUCAA